GAUGAACGCUGGCGGCGUGCCUAAUACAUGCAAGUCGAGCGAACAGACGAGGAGCUUGCUCCUCUGACGUUAGCGGCGGACGGGUGAGUAACACGUGGAUAACCUACCUAUAAGACUGGGAUAACUUCGGGAAACCGGAGCUAAUACCGGAUAAUAUAUUGAACCGCAUGGUUCAAUAGUGAAAGACGGUUUUGCUGUCACUUAUAGAUGGACCCGCGCCGCAUUAGCUAGUUGGUAAGGUAACGGCUUACCAAGGCGACGAUGCGUAGCCGACCUGAGAGGGUGAUCGGCCACAAUGGAACUGAGCCACGGUCCAGACUCCUACGGGAGGCAGCAGUAGGGAAUCUUCCGCAAUGGGCGAAAGCCUGACGGAGCAACGCCGCGUGAGUGAUGAAGGUCUUCGGAUCGUAAAACUCUGUUAUUAGGGAAGAACAAAUGUGUAAGUAACUAUGCACGUCUUGACGGUACCUAAUCAGAAAGCCACGGCUAACUACGUG
rnacentral:rRNA from 1 species